CACCACACUGAGCUCUGUAUGUGAGUGAAACAUGGGCUUGGGUUCUUUUAAAGCCAUAUUCAAUUUCUUUUUUAAUAGGCAAGGUUGGCAUAAAGCUGUUUUUGUUUUUCUUUAUUCUUGUUUCACACUUUGAAGAUCUGCUCAUAUCAGCCUCUUUUGAUUAUUUUCAUUAUUUAUUUAUUUCUUUUUCGAUUUUGAAGAGCAGGACUUUGUAGGAAAAAUAAGUAACUUAAUGCUCAUCAAAAGUUCACUGACACUUUUGUUAUCUUUUCAAAUUAAAGGUCUGAAUAUCUGAAGCUGUUUUAACCCAGAAUAUCACAAUGCUCCAUAUUUGAUUAUGCUACCUGUUGGCAGGUUCCUAAAUCCUGCCCCACACCCGCCAAGUCUGAGUCGAAUGCUGUCAUCACUGAUUCUCAGGGAGGAAGGAAACAACAUGCCUACAAGGCAGAGAUCAUUGGUGGUGUGGUGGUGCACACUCCAAUCCAGAAUGAACCUGAAGACACAGAGGGAAGAGAGAAGAAGGGCAACAGGCCUGGUGUGCUGAGAUGUGGUUUCUGUGUCAAGCAAGGAAAUGUGAGGAAGAGCUGGAAGAGGCGUUUUUUCACCCUAGAUGACAGCACAGUCAGCUACUAUAAGACUGACACGGACAAGGAGCCUCUUCGAGGUAUUCCGCUCAGAGACAUUCAGAAGGUCCAUGAAUGUCUUGUCAAGUCUGGG